CUUCAACGACCGACUGAAGGCCAAGCUUUCAUGGUCUCGGGGUUGCGAGAGUAAGAAUCGGAUCGCCGCUUUCCUCGCCCGAUUUCGGUGACCGAAAUAGGACUCCGGCGACGAUACACACAGGGUGUUCAGGUAACGUUCCUCUUCCUUCCUUUUUUAGAUUUUAAAGAAAUGAAAUCGAAAUGAAAAUAUUCAAAAAAAAAAACCUAUGAACAAUAAAAGAAAACAGAGAAAAUAAAAGGUGAAGUCACCUUGAAUUUUUAUUUCUGCUAAUAUAUCUUUUUGUUACAAAAAUCACUAGAGGCCCUAAAAAGAGUUACAUAUUCGGCUUUUAUAGCCGAUUCUCUACUGCUUGUGUUCUUUGCUCUCUUCUUCUUUGUUUUGUUCCUUUUUUACAGGUGACGGCGCAAGUGGCCGAUGUGACAACGGUGGUGAGCAGCAUGACAGUGCUGAUGUAGGCGGCGCCGGGCUAGGGGUCAGAGGGCUGCGGCGCUAGGGUUUCUUUUCUGAAACCCUAGCUUAGCUUUGAGGGGGGUUGGGCCAGUUGGGCCUUGUUUUGGGCUCCGGGUUAGGCUAGGUCUAGGUGGGUUUGGAAUUGGGUAGUUGGGGUUUAAUUGUUUUUGUUUAGUUUAGGGUUAAUUGGGUUUUGGGCUAAAAAUUGGGCUU
rnacentral:lncRNA from 1 species